rnacentral:rRNA from 1 species
GUGCCAGCAGCCGCGGUAAUACGUAGGGUGCGAGCGUUAAUCGGAAUUACUGGGCGUAAAGCGUGCGCAGGCGGUUGAUUAAGUCUGAUGUGAAAGCCCCGGGCUCAACCUGGGAAUGGCAUUGGAAACUGGUCGGCUUGAGUAUGGCAGAGGGGGGUGGAAUUCCGCGUGUAGCAGUGAAAUGCGUAGAGAUGCGGAGGAACACCGAUGGCGAAGGCAGCCCCCUGGGCCAAUACUGACGCUCAGGCACGAAAGCGUGGGGAGCAAACAGGAUUAGAAACCCGGGUAGUCC